UUGGGAUGCUGCUGUUUGUAAAAUAGAUUGGGCCAAUAAAAAGAGUUGAAUUAAUUUCACAAAUUAGGCCCCUGGAAUGCUGCUGCUGCCGCAAGCGCUAGUUAGACUUUGGGCAAGUGAAAUUGGGUCGUUGCUGCAGAUUGAAAGAAGAGUGGGCCGUUGGCAUGGACAUUAGGCCUGCAGUUAAUUGAAGUUGUGCUUUUUGGAGAUGCUGUCUUGGCUUAGGGUCUCUUUCCCUCAAUUUCAUUUGGAAAAGCUCGUGCAUUUUCAAUCUUGGACAGAAAGCACCCAAAAGUUAGGGCUUGCUCGAGAAAAGAAAUGAGAGAGAACGCGAAGCGAGACGAGAAAGGAAGAAGAAACCUGCGAUCCUGACCGGUAAGGAAGAAGAACUGACCGAAGCUGCCACGUGGAGAGGAUCAAACUGCCAGAAGACGCAGUUUGUGAUCAACGUGAACAGAGAUGGCAGAAGUGAGCUUCCUCUGUAGUUUCUGGGUAUCAACAUGCAAAAGCAUAAAGGAAAUGUGGGAAGUCCUAGAAGUGACUCAUGAAUGGACUGUGAGGUAAAAAGAGCUAGAAAAAAUUCUUUAAUCCAGGAAUACAAAAUGUUCACGAUGAAGGCUAGAGAGAAUAUCUAUGAUGUGCAGAAAAGGUUUACCCACAUAGCAAACCAUCUGAUUGCACUUGGCAAGGUAUUUGAGAAAGAAGAAAUCAACAUAAAGAUCUUGAAGAGUCUUAACAAAAGCAAGCAACCAAAGAUUCCUUUGAUUUUGUAGGUUAUUGGAAUGAUUUGAAAGAAGAGUUAAAGUACCGAAUGGUUAGAAUGCAGAAAAGUCAACCAGAAAUCAGAAAAGUCAAUCAGAAGAGUUAAAUUGAACACCCGCACUUACCGCUAAGCGGUAAAUACCGCUGAGCGCCAUUCUUAUGGGCCUUGGGCCACUUUUCUGUAACUUUUAGAAUAUUAUAUAAGGUCAUGGUCGACCUAGGGUUAAUAUCUUUGGCUGGGACGAAGCAGAAACAUACUCUUUCACCCCUUGGAGGAGUAUUUUGGAUGCUAAGGCUCCUUUCUCACUUUCUAGGGUUCUAUCUUUUCACUCUUUCAUUGUAUUUCAUCUAGUUUCACCAUGAAUAUGGUGAACUAAACUUUUAUUAUUGUUGGGGGAAUCAAUGUAGUCCUUUUGAAACUCUCAUGUAUGGAAUUUGUUCUACAAAAUCUUCUUUAGGAUGCAUGCUUUCUUUCGUUAAUUGUUAGGGUUUUUCCUCUUUGCUCAAAGCAUGCAUUGUUUAACUCAUUCGAUGUCAUGAUCAUUGAUUUUGUCGAUAUGGACACAUACGGGGAAAUCUAGAUCUGGGGAAUAUCUCCUAAUAGUAGUAUAAACCUAGACAUAGGAGUAUGAUGGUUGGUUGCCUUUAAGCUUCUGUUCACUAUAAUGCAUGAUUAAUUGCUGGGGAGACAAGACAUUAUAAACUAGUGAUUAUGUAUCGGGUUUAAGGUAAUUUAGAAAGUGUCAUUAACAAUUAAUGAAGAAAGAUGAAUUCCUGAAUACAUGAGAGUAGAUAAGGAUGAAACUGAUAAACCCCAACAACAUAAUCAUCCAUAUAUUUCAAUUCACGUGUUUUGUUUCUUCUUACCAUUGAUCAAUCCAUGCAUACAUAUUUACUUUUGAGUAUUUGCAUCUAAAUCUUAAUCAAUCGGUUUUACAAGUCUUAGGUAAUCAACAAACCACAAACCUAUCUAGGUCGUCAAUCCUUUGGGAGAACGAUACUUGGUCUUACCAGGUUUAUUACUUGAUACAAUUCGGUUACACUUGCCGAGGGUUUAACAAGUUUUUGACUCCGUUUUUGGGGAUUAAAGAUUUGUUCAUCAUGUUUUUGGCACCGCUGUCGUGGACUCGUGGUUUAACUAGUCUAUUUGUGUUAUUAUUGAUUAACUUUGACUUGAUUUUUAUCUUUUAAUCUUUUUAUUUAUCUUUUUAUCUUUUUGUUUACUUUUAUCUUUUAUUUUGAUAUAUUUUGUUAUCUUUUUAGUUUAUCUUUUCUAUCUUUCUAUCUUCUUGAUUUCUAUCUUUCUAUCUUUUCAUCUUUUCAUAUUUUCAUUUUUUAUCUUUUCAUCAUUUUUAUCCUUUU